rnacentral:rRNA from 1 species
UACAGAGGUCCCAAGCGUUGUUCGGAUUCAUUGGGCGUAAAGGGUGCGUAGGCGGCGCGGUAAGUCGGGUGUGAAAUCUCGGGGCUUAACUCCGAAACUGCAUUCGAUACUGCCGUGCUUGAGGACUGGAGAGGAGACUGGAAUUUACGGUGUAGCGGUGAAAUGCGUAGAUAUCGUAAGGAAGACCAGUGGCGAAGGCGGGUCUCUGGACAGUUCCUGACGCUGGAGGCACGAAGGCCAGGGGAGCAAACGGG